CGCUGGCGGCACGCCUAACACAUGCAAGUCGAGCGCUCUUCGGGAAGGAGCGGCGGACGGGUUAGUAACGCGUGGGAACAUACCCUUUUCUAUGGAAUAGCCUCGGGAAACUGAGAGUAAUACCAUAUACGCCCUUCGGGGGAAAGAUUUAUCGGUGAAGGAUUGGCCCGCGUUAGAUUAGAUAGUUGGUGGGGUAAUGGCCUACCAAGUCUACGAUCUAUAGCUGGUUUGAGAGGAUGAUCAGCAACACUGGGACUGAGACACGGCCCAGACUCCUACGGGAGGCAGCAGUGGGGAAUCUUAGACAAUGGGCGCAAGCCUGAUCUAGCGAUGCCGCGUGAGUGACGAAGGUCUUAGGAUCGUAAAGCUCUUUCGCCAGGGAUGAUAAUGACAGUACCUGGUAAAGAAACCCCGGCUAACUCCGUGCCAGCAGCCGCGGUAGUACGGAGGGGGUUAGCGUUGUUCGGAAUUACUGGGCGUAAAGCGCACGUAGGCGGACUAAUAAGUUAGAGGUGAAAUCCCAGGGCUCAACCCUGGAACUGCCUUUAAUACUGUUAGUCUAGAGUUCGAGAGAGGUAAGUGGAAUUCCGAGUGUAGAGGUGAAAUUCGUAGAUAUUCGGAGGAACACCAGUGGCGAAGGCGGCUUACUGGCUCGAUACUGACGCGAGGUGCGAAAGUGUGGGGAGCAAACAGGAUUAGAUACCCUGUAGUCCACACCGUAAACGAUGAAUGCCAGACGUCAGGGGGCUUGCCCUUUGGUGUCACACCUAACGGAUUAAGCAUCCGCCUGGGGAGUACGGUCGCAAGAUAAAACUCAAAGAAU
rnacentral:rRNA from 1 species